UCAAACCAUCCUACGCUAUAAGAUAUAGCUACAAUUCUAAUUAAACAGCUAUAUAUAAGCCUCCUUCAGCCUCCUAUAUCCUCUCUGCUCCAUAAUCUUUUUAUAUAUAUCGAUUUCAACUACUUUUGACUGCAGCAUGUUUAGUGGUGGAUUCAAAAUUUGAAGUACUUUAUUAUUUAUAUUAGGUUUGCCCUCGAAGCAUCACUGGGUGGGUUCUUCCAAACUUGCGAACAUGCUAUGUUGCACUUCGUCGCACAGCACCUUACUGUAAGUGUAAAGUGUAAACUAUAAGCGAGAUGUUGUUGACAGAAGAUAGAGAGCACAGAUAAUGAGGUGCUAAUUCGGAAGCUGCACCUUGAUUCUUUGUGCUCUCUAUUCUUCUGUCAUCAUCCUCAGCCCCUCCCCAACUUAAUUUGUUACUUUAAAUAUAUUUAUGUUGUUUGUAGAUUCAUCCUUAUUGUUUAAAAAUUCACUAAUGGAACUUAUAUUAAGUUGUUUAGCGUAACUUAUUAUCUUAUAUGACUUACCAUGAAGUUCGACCUGCUGCAUCCUGCACUUAAUUGGUGCUUUAAUUUGUAACUAAGGGACAUGUUUAUAUGUCUAUUCAUGAUAUAAAGGCAUGUUGCUAAUGGUUAAUUAUUUACUUCGCUAAUAUAUAAAUGCCCUAUUUUGGCUACAAGAAGCUUAAUUAUAGUUCAUCCUUUAAUUGAUCUUUUAACUUUCUUAAUUCAAAAUGUCUGAUAUCUAAUUGAUUUCUCACACACAAAUAUUUUUCAGAAAAAACACCCAAAUUCUAUUUUUCUGCUAUUUUUAAUUGUUGCCCUUGAUUGUAUUGAUAAACUAUUCUUCACUGUAUAUAUUUCCAUCCCCAAUUAUCCAGGAAGUGCUUUGUUCUCUAAUGAUAACUCUCAUGAUUUGAUGGUCAUAACCAUGUAGCUUGUCAAAUGUAUCUUGACAAAUCCUUUUCAAAGUCAAAUACUUCAAGAACCUUUCACACGCACACACCAAAACAUUCUUUGACUAAUUGUCAGAACAAGUUAAUUGUAGAGAAAAUUGCGCACUAAUUCUUUUGGGCCAUCUAAUUUUUAAAAUAAAUACACUAUGUAUAGAUAGUGUGUACUUUAUACUAAAUAUAUAUAUCUAUAGUGUAUAUAUAAUAAGGAUGUGCAUCGAUCAGUUCGAUUCGAUUUUAUGUAUUAGUGGUUCGAUUUGUCAAAAUGUUAAACUGAUAAUCAAACCAGUAAGAUAUUUGUUAUCGAUUUUCGAUUUUCGAUUUAUCGAUUUUGGUCCUUUAAUGGUUCGAUUUAUUGGUUUAAUCGAUAAGAAAAUGCUCCUUUUAUUUUCUUUACCUUCUCUUCUUAUUUUUAUAUGUUCAUAUAUAUACACUACCUUCAUGUAUAAAGCCUACAAAAAGUACAAGUAGAAGUAAAUUCAAAUACAUUUUACUAAAACAAACUUGUUUUCUUUUAGGUUAAGUAACGAUUUUGAAUACAGUAGCAACCAGUGGCGGAUCUACCCUUUACCGAGGGGGUUCAUUCGAACCCCCUUCGGUGAGAAAUUAUGCUAUAUAUGCAUGGUUAAAAUUAUUUUUUAUGUAUAUAUAUAUUAGAUGUUGAACCCCCUUCGGUUAGUUCGUAUGUUCACUUAUGAAUCCCCUUCGUAAAUAUCCUGGCUCCGCCACUGGUAGCAACCGAUAGCGAUCUUUGAAAAAAAAAUGUAGGUUUUUAAUUGAUAUUAAUGGGUGGAUAGCCAACAAGUUUAUAAAAAAAAAAGAACAAUACUAAGACAACAACACAAAAUACAAAAAACAGUAGUGUAUGUAUUUAAACUAUAAAGUCACUAUUAUAUACCUAGGGAUAAAAAUAUAAUUUUAAUAUGAUCUUAUUGGGUUAUCGGUUUAACCGUUAAUUAAAUCCUUAAAAUGAAAAAUCGAACCGAUAUUUCAAUAUGUAUUUUUUAAAAAAUUGUUAACCCGAUAACUCGAUAUCGAUAAAUCAAUAACAAUUUUUUUGGUUUGGUUUAUCGGUUAAUUCGAUUUUUACACACCCUUAAUAUAUAAUAUAUACUUUGGCUAUAUAUGAUAAACUAGAUGACCAAAUUGUACAUCUACGUAAGUUUACCUUAAUUAUAUUAACCUUUAAAGCUUUAAGUUAUUUUCUAGAAUUAGGUGUUAAGUCCUUACUCCUUAGUCUCACAUCGGCUUCACUUAAGGGAUGAUUAUCACGUCUCCUCAGAAAUUUUAACCAACAUGCCUGCUCCACAUCACACAAUGUUUUAAGAUACCUUACUAAAUAUUUUCCAUAAUGCAAGUCCGCCUCUAGUUCUAUCACAAGGUUUAUUACCAUUUUAAUUUGUUGUUUCGAGUUAAUUUGGAUGAAACAUAGAUCUACGUACAUUGGUUUGAUUCUUUUUUUUAUGUCUACAAAUAAAUGUAACUUUUGUUUUUGUUUUCCAUCCGAUGUCUGGAUUUUAUAUUGGCGUUCGACUUAUUCGAAUUCGUGUCGGGUAGGGCCCUUAUCAAGGAGUUAUCAAGGAGUUUUUCAUACUAUCCAUAGUUCAAACUCGAGACCUCUAGUUAAGGAAGGAACAGUCUUAUCUACUGCACCACAUCCUUUGGUGGUAUAAAUUUAACAUUACUUCCUUUUUUUUUUUUUUUCAAAAGGUGGCGUUUUUAUUUUUUAUUUUUUGUUUCAAAAUAAGUGGUGUUUCAUAUAAAUUAUGAAGACAUUAAUGCUGAUUUUUUUUUCAGUUUAUCCUUAUUUAAAUAAGAGAUGUUACUUUCUAAAAAUAAAAAAUGGAUAAAUAUACUUUUGAAUUAUGAUAAAUUGUAUUUAUAUAUCCUUUGUCAUACUCUGGGUACACAUAUGCCCCUACCAUUUCAUUAACAAUAGGGGCAUAUCUGUAUCAAAGUAUGACGGAGGGUAUAUACGUAUCAUUUAUUAUAGUUUGAGUGUAUAUUUAUCAUUUUUUCAUUCUAAAAAUGAUUAAUUUUCUUAAAAUAUAUGUCCAAGUUAAAAGUAAUUAUUUUGAAAUGGAAUGAGUAUAGUUUAGCUACACUACUGAAUACAAAUGGAAGUCAAAUAAUCUUCAAUGGCUGACACUGGUUUUGGAGGGGUUUUUCGAGAUAAUAAAAGAACUAACUUUUUGGAAUACUCAAGUAAGAUGGAACUGUUUUUAAGUCUCGUUACAGAACUAAGAAACAUCAAUGAAGGUUAAAUUUAACCAUAAAUUAGAAUCCCCUACUUACUAUCAAGUUUAUUGACAAGGACGACAUAAAAUAUUAUCAUGUUAGGACUAUUAUUAUUGUAGAUCGUAAAUAUUUGAUGGUAGCCAACAGGGUACUACUAUAUGGAGGAAGCUAAGCUAAUAUGCAGAUUUUCUAGCAAAUGAGGGUCACAACUCACAAGCAUGAAAAAGUAAGGUCACAAGAAUGAAGAAAGUUUGUAAUUUGGGUAGAUGCUCAACGAAAUAGAGUUUCUUCUUGAGACAAAUUUUAGACGUGCAAGUUGUGAGAGAUUUUAAAUAUAGGAACAACUGAGCAAAUCAACAACAUCCGCUUUGGGCAAAUUAAAGGAAAAUGGAAACGCAAAAGAGAGUUUUAAAUUAGAAAAUUGAUGUACUAAAGCUAUUACUAUGUCCAAACCCGAUUACAAGGACUAUCUAAUUAUGGAAAAAAGUCAUGCCGACACAAAAUUCCCAAAGAUGAGAGAAGUUGAUGUCUGGCGAAAAAACGUUUCACAUUGAUUAGGAAAAUUACAAAGCAAAUACGCAUACCCAGAAAAUGAGAGCUUGAUGGCAUAUGUCCACAUCCAAAAGAUAUAUAUAGAGUGCCAUCCUUAUCACAAACCUAAUCUUCAUAUAUUGGAGUUUUGGACUCUUAUGAACACGUUUCAGCUCUCUCAACAACCUGUUUUCCACUUACCCCCUGUGGAAACUACUAGUCCAUCAUGACACAGCUUGCAGUUUCCCCACAAAAUAAUCUUUCUAUUCACAUUUACUUGUUAAGUUUCAUCAAUGUAACUAAUCUCUAAAGUUUAACUAAAUUAUAUUAAUUUAAUUUAAUAUUUAAAUUUUAAAUCCUUGAGAAAUAUACAAAAAAAAAAGAAGUUAUAACUUCUUUUCAUAUUAAUAUAAUAAUACAAUAAAAAUACAAUUUAAAAUAUAAUCAAAAUUCAUCUAAUUUGACUCGAUAAAAUAAGUAAAAGUGAACAUAUAUAGUAGGGGUGGACGUUCGAUCGGUUCAGUCUGAUCGUUUAAUAUCGGUUCGAUUUAUCGAUUUUCGGAUUGAUAAAAAUGACAUCCGUAAUCAAAUCAAAAUAAAUUCGAUUUGGUUCGAUUUUUACAAAUUUGGUUCGGUUAUUUCGGAUUUUUAUUUCGGGUUGAAAUGUUAACGUAGUUAGCCUCUCUUUUUCAUAACUGAGUAUUUAAAAAUUGAUGGGUUUUUUUAGAAAAAUUAUUUUUUCAAACCUGUUUUUCAUUCCCAAAUAUAAAUAACUCAACAUGGAUGAAACGAAAUGAAAUAAUCAUAAGCUUAACACAAUACAUAACGUCAUUAAUCAUUACAUAUAAUAUAACCUUGCAUAAAUAGUCUACAAAACAACACAAAACUCAUAAAAAUAGUCCAUGAAACAACAUACUUUCUUCAUAAAUAGUCCAUAAAGCAGUACAAAGUCACCAAAAUAAUCCAUAAAAUAUUUGAGUCACUAAAACAAUCCAUAAACAGCCUGCGACGUAUACGAAUUUACUGUUAAAUGUUAAUUGUAAUGUGAAUUACUAAAUAUUUUAUAUAUAAUAAAAUAUAUAUUAUUUAUUUAUUUAUUUAUAAAAUUUUGGUUUUUCGGUUUAAUCGACUUUGUUUUUUUUUAAAUCGAAAAUCAAAAUUUUAAAAUUAUAAAUUGAAUCCGAUCCAAAAAAUCAAAAAUUCGAAACCAAAACUAAAAUUUGAUUUUAUUUUUUAAUUUUUUUGAUUUAAAUCAAAAUAAUGCCAACCCUAAUAUAUAGCACUAUCUCUUUUCAUGCGCAUAACAACCCAAUCACUCACUACACACAAAUUAACUCCUGUGUAUUAAUAUUUUUAUGGCUUACCAUAGGAGACACUCUCCACCAGGUCCUCCACCUCCGCCCAAUUUGGGGCCAUCGCCGCCGCCAGCGCCACCUCCAGGCCUAUAUAAUGCACCGCCACCACCUUUUCCUCCCCCAGAAGUAGUACAUGUCAGUGAAUAUGCUCCUCCGCCUCCCCCGCCUCCAUUUCUAGGGCCACCACCACCAGCUCCGGGACCACCUCCUCCACCGUAUAAUUAUGAUCUUUUUGGUCCAUCCCAACCGUUGAACUACUUUAACCCACCUUACUAGAGCUCCGCUCGGAAGAUGCAUAUAAUACAUAAGUUGGAGAAAAUAUAAUCAAGACUCAAAAGGUGACUGGAUGAGUGAUGAAGACAGGUUGGAUCACCGAGACAGUUCACAAAGUACUGUCUUAAUUAAUAGUACUGAGUAGUAAGGGUGAUGUGUUUGUAUGUAUAUAUAUGUGACUUUUUUUUGUUUUGUCCCUCCAGCUUCGGUUUCUUUGCUCUCUUGGUUAUUCGAACCCAACCACCUGAGCAACCCCGGUUAUCAUGUAUGUGACUCAAUAUAGCUUCUUGUCUACUGUCUAUUGUCUACUAGUACUCUUGCUGUUGGUUAUAAAAAGGAUCGUUUUCCUCCUCAUGGAUUUUCGAUUACCAACUACUGAAUUUAACAACAAAUAAAAAGAACUAACAGUUACAACUAUAUAUUCUAAUUAGUCAAAGAAACGGACUUCAGUUAGCUCCUGAGAUGAUCAAAAUCAUAUAAAAAGGCAACAAUUUUUUCAAUUUUUUUUUUGAAUUCCAACGGGCUUCUUCAUCAAUCCUCACUAUGUAAUUUAUCUAUUUUCCUGAAUUCGAGAAAGAAUCAGAAACUUUGGU
rnacentral:lncRNA from 1 species